rnacentral:lncRNA from 1 species
UCAUUCAAUCGUUGAGAGUCAAAUGUGAACAAACAAGUAUUUCUUUACAAUGCUUCAAGUGCUUUCAACUUAAAAAAGAUCUAAGACAUAUUAGUGAUUGUACGUUUUUUGGAAACCCAUAAGUGUUUUUAGAUUAAUAGAAGAAUUUAGUUACAAUGAACAAAAUUUAUUGUGUUGGGAACAUGUUAGAACACUUUAUCUCCUUAAAGCAACUUUUGCAGACUCUCUAUUUUAACUUUUAUCUAUUCCAAAAAGUGUGUUUUUAUCUAUUUCAGAGAGUGUGUUUAGUUUUUUUUUUAUAUUUUCGGAGCUCUAAGAGCAUCUUUAACAGACUCUCUACUUUGACUCCUUAGCUAUUUUAAAGAGCGUGUUUAGCUUUUUUAGAUGUUUUAGGAGCUCUAGCAGACUAGUCAAACUUGAGCUAUUAUAACUUUUAGCUAUCUCACUAGCUAUAUUUGGUUAGCGAGAUAACUCAAAUGAGGCUAGCUAUAAUUUAUUACAUUUCUUUUAAGAUAUUUUAGGUGAUAUAUAAAUACAUUUAAACUAUUUAAUCUUUAUUUGAACAAUAAUAUUAAUGUGAUGCUAGCUAAAAUAGAGAGCAUUGAUGUAUACACAUUUCUAAAGUGGUUAGCCAAAAUAACAUUUUAGCUAAUUUGAUGAAAAUUUAACUCAAAUAUAGCUAGCAUUGCUAAAAAUGCUCUAACAAACUAACUCAAAUAUAGCUAGCAUUGCUAAAGAUGCUCUAACAGACUAGCCAAAGCUUAGCUAUUAUGACUUUUAGCUAGCUAUCUCGUUAGCUAAGUAUAGAGAGCGAGAUGACUCAGAUGAGGCAAAUUAUAAUUUAAUACAUUCAUUGUAAGAUAUUUUACUCGGUAUAUAAAUAUAUUUAAACUAUUUAAUCUUUAUUUGAAGAAUAAUAUUGAUGUAAUGCUAGCUAAAAUAGAGAGCAUUGAUGCAGCCACAUUUCUACAGUGGCUAGCUAAAAUGACAUUUUAGCUAAUUUGACUACAAUUUAACUCAAAAAUGGCUAGCAUUGCUAAAGAUGUUCUUACUCAUGGAGAACAUGCAUAGUGAGAUUUAACUCUAAUCAGAGUCUGUGGGGAUUUAAACCUAGACAAUUAAGUGGAUUCAGAAUUCUAAACAAUUAAUAUUACACUUAAUUGGCUUAUAUAUAUUUUUUCAACCUUAAUGAAAAAC